UACGGAGGGUGCAAGCGUUAUCCGGAUUUACUGGGUUUAAAGGGUGUGUAGGCGGAUUUUUAAGUCAGAGGUGAAAUCUCCAGGCUCAACCUGGAAACUGCCCCUGAUACUAUUAGUCUUGAAUAUUGAUGAGGUGGGCGGAACGGGUCAUGUAGCGGUGAAAUGCUUAGAGAUGACCCGGAACACCAAUUGCGAAGGCAGCUCACUGGGCAAUUAUUGACGCUGAGGCACG
rnacentral:rRNA from 1 species